GCAUCUCAAAUUUGUACCGGCGCAACCGUAUGUCAUCUUAUGUGUGGGACGUGGGACAUGGCGGCCGGUGCAAGACAAGGUUUAGCGGCUUUAGCUCUCGAUUUGUUCGAAAAUGAUACUGAAAGUGAUAGUGAGGAUGGUGAAGAACGUGUACCGAGGAACGCCUUUCAUAUUCGGCAAAUUUCCGAGAGGAUUCUGUUUCAGCAUACUAGGUUGAACAGAAUUGUAUUUGAGUAUGUUUUAGGUUUAAUUUCACCGGCUUUGACAAAAAACACGCGAAGUGGACGAUACAAACAUCUAACACCCAUGCAAAAAUUGUAUGUGGCCCUUCAAUUUUAUGCCACAGGUUCAUAUCAAUGGCUAGUAGCAAGCAGUGGCAAUGUUUCACAACCCUCAGCAUGUCGUAUCAUUGGAGAAGUUACUGAGGCUAUUGUGGCUCUUGCGCCACAGUUUAUACGUUUUCCCAACGCUGAAGACUACCUGGCAGUGAAACAAGCCUUCUACCAAAUAGGACAGACCAAACACAGACGUGGAUUUCCAAACGUUUUGGGUGCAAUUGACUGUACUCACGUACGCAUUCAAGCUCCAACAACUGCCCCAGAACAAUACCUGAAUCGUCAUAUUUACCACUCAAUUAUUGUACAACUUGUUGUCGGACCUGAUUUAAAAAUUUUUAACAGUGUUGCAGAAUUUCCAGGUUCUAAUCAUGAUUCGUAUGUGUGGAGAAAUUCAGCUGUUCGAGAAGCCUUAGCUGAAGGUAAUUUUCCAGAAGGUUGGCUCAUUGGGGAUUCUGGAUAUCCACAGGAACCUUGGCUCAUGACUCCUGUUGGCCAUGUUAACACACCGCCUGAAUUGUUAUAUAAUUCUGUGCACAUUUCCACUCGAAAUCCAGUGGAAAGGACAAAUGGAGUUCUAAAAAGUAGGUGGCGUGUUUUAGAUUGUCCACUUAAAUAUUCUCCAGGGAAAGUGUGUCACAUAACUACUGCAUGUUGUGUUCUCCACAAUAUUUGCACUGAACAUAACCUGGAUGUAGAAGAUUUACAAGAACAUCCUCUGAAUGAUGAAUUCCCAUGUCAAGAGCCUCAAAAUCUCCAUUAUGACCAAAUUAAAAGACAACUGAUUGCACAACAUUUUACCUGAUUUUGACAUGUAUCCUUUUUUAUUUAACAUUUGUGCUCAUCUGCAAUUGUAGGUUAAAAUUUUGUAUGUUGGUGACUUCUACAGCCCUUUUUUUCAAAAUUUAUUAAUUUGUAUCCUUUGCAAACACAAAUUUUACUUCUAACUCUCAUAUUUUCAAAUAACACCCCUUCCUUAACCUGGUGGGAUUUUGUCAGCCUUUACAGGGUCCCACUAGAUAUUUCCACAAUUGCUUGUUCCACACUGUUAAAUUUAAUACUUGCUUUUUUUUGCUAGUUCUAUUAAUAGCACGUUUUGGAUUCAUUUUAUUCUGCAAGGAUUAAUUUCAAAAUUUCCAUUGUGGAAAGUAACCGAACUGACAAAAAAAUUACAACUUAAUUUUUAAACUAAAUAAAUAGAGAUGUACCGACUGUAGGUCUGGCCGACUAACUGACUAGCCGAUUGUUCGGCCAGUAAAAACCGACUAGUCGGCCGACUGUUCGGCUUUGCAAAAACCGGUUUAUAAAUGCGACAGGCAGUGUGUUUUUUUUUUUCUAUUUCUCUGACUACCUUAAAAAUUUGUUUUAUUUUAUAAAAGGAAUAACUAAAGUUCCUUUGUUUUCCAAAAAAUGUGUUAAAAUUUGUUUGGAUAAUUUUAACAUUUAAUUUUUUGCAGUAACUCAGUACAAAAAUAAAAAAUAACACAAUUUACAUCCAGUUUAUACAAUAUUUUAACUGAGAUUAAGUUGAUCGCGCAUUUAACAAGGCCAUUAGCAACGUCUCAUUGGCGUAGAGUCGGUCACAUGGUACUUUAACGCGAGGUUAAAAAUUAAAUCGCAAUUAAAUAUUUAAUUGAGGUUCUGUGAACCGGGUUUAAUUGUUUUAUAUACUAUUUUAAUUUUAGUAAAAAAAGCCGACCGGUCAGCCACUAGUCGGUACAUCCCUAUAAAUAAAUAAUUCAAUAAAUGAUCAAAGUAACAAGUAUAUGAUGUUUAUUUAAUGUGAAUAAUAACUAAAUAAAUAAAUAAUGAACAAUCAAAAAUUACUAUAAUUAGAUAAAAUAUUUAAUGUGAGGUUUUGGCUUUUUUUAUUUUGAGGUUUUCCUCUAAAAUUUCUACCUCUCUUUUUUUUAGAGCUACCAACUCUCUUAUUCCUUCGGUUACCUGACUACUGAAGCUCUUGAAUUCCAUUUUUUCUUUGGGACAGUUGGAGGUAUCACAGGUGGUGCAGUGAGGGGUGCUGGCAGGAUUGGCGAAACUGAAACUCUGGGAGGAGAGGAAGUAGGGCUAGGUCCAGUGGAACACAUGUUAUACUCUGUAAAAGGUGGAAAUAAUAAACUAUUAAUAUAUUUGCAAAGUAAUUAUGGUUAUUUAAAAAUGAUAUGUGUAUAUUAUUACUGUAUCGAUGUUGAAACUAUCUUGUUGUCUAUUUAUAAAUAAAACUAUUUUAUAAACCUA